ensembl:snRNA U6 U6 spliceosomal RNA
AUGUUAACUUUGUAAGCACAUAUACUAAAACUGAAGCGAUACAGUGAAUAUUAGAAUAUCCCCUAUGCAAGGAUGACAAAUUUGUGACACAUUUUCUAUUUUU